UACGGAGGGGGCUAGCGUUGUUCGGAAUUACUGGGCGUAAAGCGCACGUAGGCGGCUUUGUAAGUUAGAGGUGAAAGCCUGGGGCUCAACUCCGGAAUUGCCUUUAAGACUGCAUCGCUAGAAUUGUGGAGAGGUAAGUGGAAUUCCGAGUGUAGAGGUGAAAUUCGUAGAUAUUCGGAAGAACACCAGUGGCGAAGGCGACUUACUGGACACAUAUUGACGCUGAGGUGCGAAAGCGUGGGGAGCAAACCGG
rnacentral:rRNA from 1 species